rnacentral:rRNA from 1 species
UACGAAGGGGGCUAGCGUUGCUCGGAUUGACUGGGCGUAAAGGGCGCGUAGGCGGUUUGUACAGUCAGACGUGAAAUUCCCGGGCUCAACCUGGGGGCUGCGUUUGAUACGUGCAGACUUGAGUUCGGAAGAGGGUCGUGGAAUUCCCAGUGUAGAGGUGAAAUUCGUAGAUAUUGGGAAGAACACCGGUGGCGAAGGCGGCGACCUGGUCCGAUACUGACGCUGAGGCGCGCAAGCGUGGGGAGCAAACAGG